AUUCUUGUUCUAAAUUCACAAGCAACAAUUUUAUCUUUUGGGUUGAUUGGUUUUUAAUUCUGCUCAUUCUUCAUAUGUUUUAAAGCUGCUUCAUUAGCACUAAAUGUAAUGAGUAAUAUAUAGAAUAACUUUAUUCAAUCUAUAGCUAAAAGGUUGGCUCAGUACCUCAUUCUCCUUUAAUUGAAAGGACGGUGGGAAAGAUAGGAGCACGAAUGAGAACUUUAUCAAUUCAACUUAUCAUUUUGGAGCUGACGAAAUGGGCCUGAUCCCUUUGAAGUCUGGACGAGUAAAAUCAACUACUGUGUGAGCUUAUAGCCUAAUACUUUAUUUUAGUUUUAUACUGUAGGUUUUAGUGUGUUACUUAAUCUAUUACUAAUAGUAAUCUAUUAAUAAUAGCAAGUUGUUUGUCUUAUUUCUUAGGUUGUUAAUGCCGAUCUUGAAAUAGGUCAUUCCGACUAUCCCGAUCUUUUAUCUGUUCAUUUCGUCAAGUAUUUGAAUCAUACGAUUCUGAGGAUUCUGAAAAACCUAAUUUAAAGUCAGAAUCACGCUCGGAGCCUACCGCUAUAAUGAACAACACACCAACGACCAUACUUCUUGCGCUAGUAGGGCUUUUGGGAAAAGCAAGAGUUUAAUCACACUUAUUAGGCACAACUACCUAUAAUUAUCUUUUAGAUGACCAUAUAUAUAGUAAUUGUCAAUGUAUAGAAGCGGUGGGGAGCGACUCUUGUUCAAGAGGAGUCAAUUAGAACUCUUUCAUCGGAAAAUUGCACUAUAUAUGUAUAUGUUCUUUUUUUCUUUUACUAUUAUACUAUACGUUGAAUCCCUUAAAUGCGUAAGUUACAUUUUGACUUGAAAAAUUGGUUCCUCCACUAUGCAGAAGUUAAAUUCUUUUCUUAAUUAACGAAGAACUUCUGUUGUCAAUAUAUAGAAGUUACUCUUUUCUUAAUCAACGAAGUAUUUCUGUUGUGUGGUCAGUCUGAUUCAAAACUCUCAUCUUCUUAAUUAGCACAAAGCGUUGAUAUUUCCCUUUUCUAUUCAACUGUAAACGUGAAAUAUUACCCUAGUCAAGAAAAUACUUAACAACUAUGGUAUUUUUAUUUCAUGUUUUGGAGCCACCCCAAACCCACCCCACACGCACCUCCUUGGGUGUCAUGGUUAAUAAUCAGUAUGAGAUAACACAAUUUUUUACGCCAACACUAUUUCUCUACUAUUGUAAUUUCUAUGCAUUGACGAUGUAAAUAAUAGUUUUGUUAUUGAAAGUUAACUAGAUUCAUUGGUAACCUACAAAAAUGGCAACAUAUUAUGAUAAAUAAGGUUAAAUCACAGGGAUAAUAUGAGAAUUCAUUAUCGAGUUAAUACAUGUAACUACAUUCUUUUUCUAUCUGCAGAUUUUGUCUUGCUUAUACCAAUUGGUCAUAUAUAGGUUCGAAUCCUACUCGGGAGAUUUGAUUGAGUCUUAAUUAAAGUAUUCACAAGGGGCUCGCUUUGGCCAUUAAUUAGUGUGAAUAACCUGUUUCCUAUCUUUAUUUCUUUUACAUUCUAUCUCAUUAUAUCACACUUUAUUCUGCGAGAUUCGAAAGUACCUUUAAUUUAUGCCUUGAUCUAGGUCCAAGAUAAUCCUUUGUUCCAUGGCUCAGGACUCUAUUUAAGUUGGUUUGACUUUCCUUUGUUUGCCACUAUAUAUUGAAUUCAAUCUGCAACGUAUUUUUCUUUUCCUUGGCAUGGUUUCUUAUUUUCUUCAUUGAAGGACGAGACACGAAGAGUCUGUAAGGGCAUCCUACGAAAGUGCUUUGAAGUAUAUAAAGUCCCAAUCAUCCCUCUGAAUAUAUUUUUCUGUUUUGUAUAGAACCUAACCUCCUCAUGUUUCACAUAUUACAAGAAAUUUCUGAACUAUAUAUAUCAUGAUGCUCCUUUGUCUCGGUCUUUUCUUUAACAAUACAUAAAAAUUCUUAGAACAGCUUUUUCUUUUCAUUGCCUCUCAAGAUAUACGGAUUUAGUCGUAUUGAUAGAUAUGUUGUUGUCACAAAGCCAUGGCAUGUAUUGUCUGUUUUGGUCGAACCCAAAAACGUGUGUACCAUGUGAACUUGAGUUAUGCCUUAUAAAGCUCUUUAUUUUCUCUCACAUUUCAAUUCGUUGUGACAUUCGUGUAACGUGUCAUGCAGGUGCACCUCAUCUUCAGAAGCUUGUCAACCUAGAAGUCUGUCAGUCCUGCUUGAUCCGCCCUCAUCAACCCAUCCUCCAUCAAAAGUGUCACAGUUGUCUAUGGUAAAGUUCUCUAUCCCAUUCAAAAAGUCAAGUAAAUAUUAUUUCCCUAGCUUAAGUCUUGUAUAAUCUUAAUUUAUUUCUAAUUAUGUAUCUUUCGAUUUGCUUCUUCUUUUUUCUGUUCCCCAUUUAUGUUUUUCGCUUCAAAUUACUGGCGAUCUAAAAGAAUAGGGAGCUAUCAACUUCUGAUAA